GAUGAACGCUGGCGGCGUGCUUAACACAUGCAAGUCGAACGGGAAACCUUUUAUUGAAGCUUCGGCAGAUUUAGCUGGUUUCUAGUGGCGGACGGGUGAGUAACGCGUGGGUAACCUGCCUUAUACAGGGGGAUAACAACCAGAAAUGGUUGCUAAUACCGCAUAAGCGCACAGGACCGCAUGGUCCGGUGUGAAAAACUCCGGUGGUAUAAGAUGGACCCGCGUUGGAUUAGCUAGUUGGCAGGGUAACGGCCUACCAAGGCGACGAUCCAUAGCCGGCCUGAAAGGGUGAACGGCCACAUUGGGACUGAGACACGGCCCAGACUCCUACGGGAGGCAGCAGUGGGGAAUAUUGCACAAUGGGGGAAACCCUGAUGCAGCGACGCCGCGUGAAGGAAAAAGUAUCUCGGUAUGUAAACUUCUAUCAGCAGGGAAGAUAGUGACGGUACCUGACUAAGAAGCCCCGGCUAACUACGUG
rnacentral:rRNA from 1 species